rnacentral:rRNA from 1 species
GGGAACCUCACCAGGCCCGGACACCGGAAGGAUUGACAGAUUGAGAGCUCUUUCUCGAUUCGGUGGGUGGUGGUGCAUGGCCGUUCUUAGUUGGUGGAGCGAUUUGUCUGGUUAAUUCCGAUAACGAACGAGACUCUGUCCUGCUAAAUAGUGUCCGCUUCUCUUUUGAGCGGACAAUUCUUCUUAGAGGGACUGGCGACUCUUAGUCGCACGAGAUUGAGCAAUAA